GGGAAGGCCGUUCUUGUGACCGGCAGAUUGGUGAGGAUUUCCUGUUACUUCUCCAAAGUGAUGUAGUAGCUACGCAAUGUUUGUUAUGUCUUUGUGUGUUGGUUUAAUGAAGAUUGUGUUGGAGGUAUGUCCUAGAGGCAAUCAUAGAGAUGAUGAUAUUCCUUUGUAUCCAUGUUUUAUAUUAUGUUCCUUGAAUAUUCAUUAAAGGCUACUUGAAUUGAUUUGCAAUUAUGUGAAUUAUGUGUGAAACUCUUUACUUGUAUGGUUAUUCUAAAAGUUGUCCCUAAUUGGAGUUCAUAUGAGGACACACAUGAAUAUUAUACUAGCACAUGUAUUAGUUGAUGACUAUGUUUCACAAGUCAUGGACAUGGAGAUGUCAAACUAAUAAUGUGGGCACGCGUAGAGACAUG
rnacentral:lncRNA from 1 species